UACGGCGAGUGAGCGGCAAAAGCUCAAAUUUGAAAUCUGGCACCUUCGGUGUCCGAGUUGUAAUUUGAAGAAGGUAACUUUGGAGUUGGCUCUUGUCUAUGUUCCUUGGAACAGGACGUCACAGAGGGUGAGAAUCCCGUGCGAUGAGAUGCCCAAUUCUAUGUAAAGUGCUUUCGAAGAGUCGAGUUGUUUGGGAAUGCAGCUCUAAGUGGGUGGUAAAUUCCAUCUAAAGCUAAAUAUUGGCGAGAGACCGAUAGCGAACAAGUACAGUGAUGGAAAGAUGAAAAGAACUUUGAAAAGAGAGUGAAAAAGUACGUGAAAUUGUUGAAAGGGAAGGGCUUGAGAUCAGACUUGGUAUUUUGCGAUCCUUUCCUUCUUGGUUGGGUUCCUCGCAGCUUACUGGGCCAGCAUCGGUUUGGAUGGUAGGAUAAUGACUAAGGAAUGUGGCUCUACUUCGGUGGAGUGUUAUAGCCUUGGUUGAUACUGCCUGUCUAGACCGAGGACUGCGUCUUUUGACUAGGAUGUUGGCAUAAUGAUCUUAAGCCACCCGUCUU
rnacentral:rRNA from 3 species